rnacentral:rRNA from 1 species
GACGAACGCUGGCGGCGUGCUUAACACAUGCAAGUCGAACGGAAAGGCCCUGCUUUUGUGGGGUGCUCGCGUGGCGAACGGGUGAGUAACCCGUGAGUAACCUGCCUUUGACCUUGGGAUAACUUCAGGAAACUGGGGAUAAUACCGGAUAGGAGCUCCUGCUGCAUGGAGGGGGUUGGAAAGUUUCGGCGGCUGGGGAUGGACUCGCGGCUUAUCAGCUUGUUGGUGGGGUAGUGGCUUACCAUGGGUUUGACGGGUAGCCGGCCUGAGAGGGUGACCGGCCACAUUGGGACUGAGAUACGGCCCAGACUCCUACGGGAGGCAGCAGUGGGGAAUAUUGCACAAUGGGCGGAAGCGUGAUGCAGCAGCGCCGCGGGCGGGAUGACGGCCUUCGGGUUGUAAACCGCUUUCGCCUGUGACGAAGCGUGAGUGACGGUAAUGGGUAAAGAAGCACCGGCUAACUACGUG